CAGCCAGGAGGCAGAGGUCUCCUGCCCCUUCAUUGACAACACCUACUCGUGCUCGGGCAAGCUGCUGGAGAGGGAGAUCAAGGCGCUCCUGACCCCUGAGGAUUACCAGCGAUUUCUAGACCUGGGCAUCUCCAUUGCUGAAAACCGCAGUGCCUUCAGCUACCAUUGCAAGACCCCAGAUUGCAAGGGAUGGUGCUUCUUUGAGGAUGAUGUCAAUGAGUUCACCUGCCCUGUGUGUUUCCACGUCAACUGCCUGCUCUGCAAGGCCAUCCAUGAGCAGAUGAACUGCAAGGAGUAUCAGGAGGACCUGGCCCUGCGGGCUCAGAACGAUGUGGCUGCCCGGCAGACGACAGAGAUGCUGAAGGUGAGGCUGGGACAGGGCCGAGGCCUAGGGAUUUUAAGUUCUGGGAUCCAGGUGGGAGCUGGGAGCUUCUCAGUAAGGGCUGUGCUCACACAUCCCUGGAGGCUCUGACCUCCCUUCUGGCUGUCACUCCCAUCCGGAGGUGGGACUUAGGCCGAAUGGUCAUGUCAGGAAGAGCGUCUGGGUGGAGGGUGGAGACCACAGGAAUGAAGAGGGGGUUGCUGGAUGGAGCCUGGCCUGGCAGAGCCACACAGGAGAGACUCCACAGCUCUAGAGGGUCACCACCUUCUCCCUGCCAUGGGGAGGGGCCAGGCUGGGUGACUGCCCCAGCCCCGCCCCAAGGCCAGCACCUGCCCCACUCCAGGUGAUGCUGCAGCAGGGCGAGGCCAUGCGCUGCCCCCAGUGCCAGAUCGUGGUGCAGAAGAAGGACGGCUGCGACUGGAUCCGCUGCACCGUCUGCCACACCGAGAUCUGCUGGGUCACCAAGGGCCCACGCUGGGGCCCUGGGGGCCCAGGAGACACCAGCGGGGGCUGCCGCUGCAGGGUAAAUGGGAUUCCUUGCCACCCAAGCUGUCAGAACUGCCACUGAGCUAAAGAUGGUGGGGCCACAUGCUGACCCAGCCCCACAUCCACAUUCAGUUAGAAUGUAGCUCGGGGAGCUUCGUGGAUGGCCUUGCUUGCUGUAGCGUCGUAGGGGCCCUGCCUGCACUGCGGUUCUCCACGGUCACAUCUGCCCCAGUGCCUUUGUCCUUCCCUUGGGGCUUGCCGGCCAGACUUCUCUUCCCUGCAGCUCCCACCUCUGCCUGACCCCAGCCUUAAACAUAGCCCCUGGCCGGAGGCCUUGCUGGGUGGAGCCUCUGUGACUCCAUACUCCUCCCACUGCAACACUCAUCUGUCAAACACCAAGCACUCCCAGCCUCCCCGCCUUCAGCUGUCAGCUUUCUGGGGCUAACUUCUCUGCCUUUGUGGUUGGAGGCCUGGGGCCUCUUAGAACUCUUGCUAACCUGUUCAGAGCCAGGAAGGAGACUGCACAGUUUUGAAAGCACAGCCCGUCAGGUCCGGCUCUGCGUCUCCCUCUCUGCAGCCUGUGUAAGCUAUUAUAAUUAAAAUGGUUUUCUGGGAA
rnacentral:sRNA from 1 species